rnacentral:rRNA from 1 species
GACGAACGCUGGCGGCGUGCUUAACACAUGCAAGUCGAACGGAAAGGCCCUGCUUUUGUGGGGUGCUCGAGUGGCGAACGGGUGAGUAACACGUGAGUAACCUGCCCUUGACUUUGGGAUAACUUCAGGAAACUGGGGCUAAUACCGGAUAGGAGCUCCUGCUGCAUGGUGGGGGUUGGAAAGUUUCGGCGGUUGGGGAUGGACUCGCGGCUUAUCAGCUUGUUGGUGGGGUAGUGGCUUACCAAGGCUUUGACGGGUAGCCGGCCUGAGAGGGUGACCGGCCACAUGGGGACUGAGAUACGGCCCAGACUCCUACGGGAGGCAGCAGUGGGGAAUAUUGCACAAUGGGCGGAAGCCUGAUGCAGCAACGCCGCGUGCGGGAUGCCGGCCUUCGGGUUGUAAACCGCUUUCGCCUGUGACGAAGCGUGAGUGACGGUAAUGGGUAAAGAAGCACCGGCUAACUACGUG